rnacentral:rRNA from 1 species
ACGGAGCAACGCCGCGUGAGUGAUGAAGGUUUUCGGAUCGUAAAACUCUGUUGUUAGGGAAGAACAAGUACCGUUCGAAUAGGGCGGCACCUUGACGGUACCUAACCAGAAAGCCACGGCUAACUACGUGCCAGCAGCCGCGGUAAUACGUAGGUGGCAAGCGUUGUCCGGAAUUAUUGGGCGUAAAGCGCGCGCAGGCGGUUUCUUAAGUCUGAUGUGAAAGCCCCCGGCUCAACCGGGGAGGGUCAUUGGAAACUGGGGAACUUGAGUGCAGAAGAGGAGAGUGGAAUUCCACGUGUAGCGGUGAAAUGCGUAGAGAUGUGGAGGAACACCAGUGGCGAAGGCGACUCUCUGGUCUGUAACUGACGCUGAGGCGCGAAAGCGUGGGGAGCGAACAGGAUUAGAUACCCUGGUAGUCCACGCCGUAAACGAUGAGUGCUAAGUGUUAGAGGGUUUCCGCCCUUUAGUGCUGCAGCAAACGCAUUAAGCACUCCGCCUGGGGAGUACGGUCGCAAGACUGAAACUCAAAGGAAUUGACGGGGGCCCGCACAAGCGGUGGAGCAUGUGGUUUAAUUCGAAGCAACGCGAAGAACCUUACCAGGUCUUGACAUCCUCUGACAACCCUAGAGAUAGGGCUUCCCCUUCGGGGGCAGAGUGACAGGUGGUGCAUGGUUGUCGUCAGCUCGUGUCGUGAGAUGUUGGGUUAAGUCCCGCAACGAGCGCAACCCUUGAUCUUAGUUGCCAGCAUUCAGUUGGGCACUCUAAGGUGACUGCCGGUGACAAACCGGAGGAAGGUGGGGAUGACGUCAAAUCAUCAUGCCCCUUAUGA